CGCAGCAGGAGAGCGGAGGCCCUUGGAGCUCUCCAGCAGAGGGUGAUGAGGGAGAGCAGGAGGGUAUGGGUGGGGGGCAGUGGAGGGCAUGGCUUGGGGCAGCACUCUGAGGAGCUGGCCAGACCUGGGCAGGGGGCUAGAGGCUCCAGACAGAGGCGGCUCUUUAAAAAUGACUCAAUUAAAACUAUUACAAAAGGAAUACAAAUAAUAAAAACUGCUUAAAAGGGGGGAAAGUGUCUAAAGGAAGAAGAUAGGGUUUUAAAUCCUAAAACCCCCUGAGGUAGACUUCAGUGAUUUGGGAUAAACAGGAAAGAGUCAUUUUUAAAGGGAAGAAUGACCCAAAUUAAGAAGAAACAUGGUGAGACAGACACAGGAGAGAAAAGGGUCAGAGUGAUUGGAAAGAUUCUCUGGAAGGAGAGACGGCAGCUGGCCAUGCUACAGAAGGGGGCAGCAGCGGGGUCUCGGGGGGCAGGGGGGAGCUCCAGGCUCAGCCAGCCUCCGAGGGCCUGUCCUUGCCGUCAGAUCCUCUCCCUGUUUUUAUUUUUUAAACUUUAAGCGCCCCAGGGACCACAAACACUGACCAGGUGCUGAGCAGGGGAGAUGGGGCACAGGGCGCCCCUGCUGGUAGGAGUUUACUUCUCCGCAGAGGAGGCAAGGGCAGUGCACCCAAGGUCCCAGGAGUGAGUGGUGGGAUUCAACCUCAAGGGCCGAGCUGCUCCUAAGCCUGCUCCCCUUUCUGGAGAACAGUGUGCUGGCCCUGAACCCAACACAGCACAAGGCCAAUGGCCAGCCAGGCCCCAGGCCCGGGUGCCUCACCACCAUCACCUUGCACAGGCCUGGGAACCUGGGCACCCAGAGAGGGGCCCGACUCUUCUUGGGAGCAGGGGUGGAGAGUGAGCCUGUUGUGGGGAAACUGGCUCCUUCCCUGAUGCGGCCUCGCACCCUCUGCUGAAGUGCCCAAGGCAAGAGAGGCUGCAGGGCCUCUGCUCUGUUUGCGGGGAGACCGGGGGAGACCGGGGGAGACUGGGGGAGACUGGGGGUCCAGGCUGCCCUCCGGAGUGGACACCCUGCAGGCCGUGCCCUCAAGCUCCUCUGCCUCCCUCUAGAGGGAACAGCCAGGUCCUGGGUUUCUCUUUGCUCAGAAGCUCCUGUCAUUCCAUUGCUUUCCCACGAACCUUCCCAAGACUGCAAUAUCCAUCGGAAAGGAUGUGACCAAAAGCGAAUGAGGCAUACAGGGCAGAGUCACACUACUGAUUUAUGCAAAACCAUUACCGCGGCCACCACAUCAUUUUCCCGGCCCCUUUUCGGCAAUCAUGUAUCCCAUUAGCCUGUUUGAUUGCCGCUGCUCACAAAGGGGCACCUUCGCCGAACCAGCUUCAACGGCUGCUGGAUCUAUCCCCUGAGAGGAGCUGGCUAAUUUGGAAGGUAGUCGUGUGUACGAGUCCGACCCAGCCUGAGUCACUAUCCGGGCGUCCUUUUUUGUAGCUGCUGUUUAUUAUCACUUUGCCUUUCCUCUCUGGGAGCCAUAAUUCUCGACACGUUUGAGAGAGUCUGGGGCGUUCCUGUCUCCGGGAGCCACCUGGAAAGGAUGCGCACAGACGCACGGGCCUCUGCUUGGGGCUCGGGCUAGUGGCUCAGCCAGCUGCAGGCCAUGCCUUCUUUCAUUACUGGGCCUCCCCAAGCACGGUGUGCACCACAGAGCUUCAAGGCUCUCAGAUGCACAGAAGCCCCGUCUCGUUUUCCCAGGCUGUGCCAAGUCUGCCGUGAACUGUAGCAAAAAUGGGGAAAAUUUAAUAAAUGUUGAUCCAUGGCUCUACCUUGCUUUUCUGGUUUCUCCUGAGUAUUUUUCCCCGACUGCUUUCAUGCCAGCCGAUACAAAUGGCAUUCCUGACCCAAGCUUUCGACUUAGAUUUCCAAGGUGACAUAUCUUGGUAAAAUAGAUAACCGUCUCUCAGGGAUAUCUGCCCGCAAGUCAAGCACAAAGACGAGGCUUCUGGGCGAUACCACUCUGGAGCCCGCCGCUUCCUGGUGUCUGUGGCGGCGGCACCUGCACCCAUGCCACGGUCAGCAAGUGCUCAUGGAUCCCGAUGCCGGUGACAAUGAACAUCUUUCUUACACCCAUCACAGGAACACCGCAUAGGCGUCUCUCUUGCAGGGACGUUUCACUUUUUGUUCCUUUGAAAUUGAAGUCCAAGUUUCUCCAACAAAACACCCCUUUUUAUAAGCAAAAGCCCUAUGUUCAUCUGAAUAGCCCAAAACCUGGUUUUCGGUUAAGAAAACUUUUGUUAACGGGAGAUAUUUCCAGAUUGUGAACAAUACUUUUUCAGUAUUGCUUAGGGGUGAUACGAUGCCCAAACUGUUUUGCACAACUAUCUAAUCCUAACAGGUACAGGAAUAUGAUUCCUGGUGACAUUGCUUAGGUAUGGCAAGUUCUUAAAACUUUUCAAUUCUACUUUCCCAUAUUCGCAUAGGCCAGGGCUCCCACAGAUCCCUGGAACUUAAAUGCUUGGAAGGUUCUAGAAAAAGAGCCUUUCUAAUACAUUAUCACUCCAGGUAGCCCUGCAAUCUCUGGUUACCAUAUUUUUCUGUGUGCACACUCCAGAGCUCCAGGGAGUACAGUUAACUCUCCCAUCAUCAUUACUCUGGCCCUGGAGUGUUAGAGGUAUCUUUUUUAUUUUGGGGGGGAAAAAAAAAAGACUAAGAAACAAAAAAGGGGAAAUGUUCCAGUUCCCAGGUAGAACCUGGUAGGUGUGGCCUUGCCAAGGCCCUCUUCCCACUGGAUGGGGCAUCAAGAAGCCUGCCUGUGCCCCCUCAGGUUGGAAGGCCAGCACAUGGAGCCCCAGAUGCCCAUGUCCUAGACUUGCCCAUAGCUAUGGGCCGGCCGUUCUUCAAGGUCAUGGGGAUUACAGCCUGGUGCAAUCUUCUACUCUCCCGCAUUCCUCAGAUGCAAGUUGUCAUAGGGGGUUCCCGAUAGCUUAUUUCUCUCAGAACCCUACACUAAUGCUCUGGCCCUUGGUCUGAUUUACAGAGGGGCUACGCUGUGGGGAAUAGGGCUGGGUACAGGGACCCGAAGAUACCAGGACACCAUCUCCAUCCUCAAGAAGUGCCGUGUAGUGAGGGACCCGGGCAAUGGCUCCGCAAACUCACAGGUGGCAGCCAGGCUAACCUGUCCGUGCCAACGCCCUACUGUUCCUGUGCUUGUCUUGUGUCUGGCCCACAUCCAAUCCUGCCCUCUGCCUUGCAUACACCCCACAGGGCAUCUGGUGCCGUUGGAAGCCUGGUUUGCACUAGUAAUUUCUCCUCCUGAGCACGUUUGAUUUCGAAACCUCCCUUCCCCGUCACUGCUAUGUGACAUCCCCUGGAAGGCCAGGGUCCCCCUCCCUGGCAGAAGGGGCAGCCUGAGGUCAGGAGCUCUCUGAGGGAGAGGCUCACUGGUCCAUUUGCUCUGUCAUCUCUUGAGUCUCUGCAUCAGGGAUGUUUGCUUCAGGCCUCGUGCUGACUGCGCAGGAAUUCAGGCCUGGAGAGCCAGCCUAUGGCUGCGUUGGGGGCCCCCUGCCUUUGGGGGCUUAGAGCACAGCCUCUAGAGGAUGCUACAAGGGGAAGACCUCAGGGCAGCCAGGGAGGGUGCGAUCAGACUUGGUGGGGGUGUCUGGAAAAUAAUUACCACCAGGCCAGGAAGGAGUUUUUUUGUUUGUUUGUUUAAAACAACAACAACAAAAAGAGUCCCUUUCCUUGUUUUUGUGUUUUUUUCUUCACUUGAGCCACAUGUUGCUAUGGGAACAAGGAUGGCACUGGGACCCACAGACACUCACUGGCCUGACAGAUGCCUGUGAAUAAAUUCUGCCUCACUCUGGGCUCCGCGCUGAGUGGUCCUGGAGGGCAGCUCAAGCAGCCACUUGCAGACUCUCGGUCCUGCUGCUGCAGGCUUGUGCAGACCCUCCGGUGGCCACCCUCGCACCGCACGUCCCCUGCAUGAGAGCAGAGGAGCCUGCCACCGCACCCCAUCUCGUCCAUGUCUCUCCAGUCCCAAGGGCCAGGCUCCUGUGGUCCAUUUUAUAGAUGAGGAAGCCUCCUCCUCAGGCCCGGGCCCUGCAUUGGUCUGCAUCCGCUGGGCUGUUGGGCUCUAGUUUGGACGGCUUGCUCUUCACCUGGCUGACGGCCACCAGCUCUAAGCCGGGCCCUGCCUUCGUUUUUCUCCCAGAUCUGGAGAGGGCUGGUGCCUUCAGUGUGCCCACAGGAGUCAUGUGCUUACCACAUCUGACUGUGCUGGGCAGAGCUGGACUCAUUUCUAGGGCUCUACUAUUACGGAGUGUGUCCUUUUGGGAGACAGUGCAGUCUGGAUUUUCAGAGACCAACUGCCAGGAUUCAAAUCCUGACUGGCACUCACCAGCAGGGUGACCUUGGGCAAAAUACUUAACAUUGCUCAGCUCUAGCUUCCUCAUCAAAUUUUCCUUUUUGCUUAGGACAUUUUUACUGGGGAAACCACGCCCUAAAGAAUGCAUAAAAUGUAAAUGAACAGCUUGCUGAAUAAUUGCAGGGUGACCGCCAUGUAGACUCCACGGGGGGCAACAACCCAGGAACACUGCCGGGGUCCCUCUGUCCCUCCACGAGGACGGCCCUUCCGGACCCCAGCCUCCCCACCCCAAGGAAACCACAGUUCUGGUUUUAAUAAUAAUUAUUCCUUCGCCUUUUUUUUUUUUUUUAAAGAAAAGUUUCACAACCCGUGUCCACAUCCUUGUAUAUGACAGCUUACUUUCGCCUGUUUUUGACGUUAUAUGAAUAUAAUCCUACUCUCUGUACUCUUCUGUGCCUGGCUUCUUUGCUUUGACAUGCUGUGAUUGGAUGACAGCGUGGAUGACGGCCCAGCGAUGCUUGGCUUUUCCAUUCUCCCCGGACGGAUGACUAGGAGGUGUCCUGCUUGGGUCUCGUAGGAACAGUGCUGCUAGGAGCGUCUUUACUCUUGUACCCGGAGCACGUGUGAGAGCUUCUUUAGAGAAUACCCACGGGCGUCAGAUGCUUCGUCUUAGGGUAGGCGCGCACAUGUCCAACCUUAGAUCUUACCAGACUCCUCUCUCCGGCAAUGACCACAGUUUAUACUCCCGCAGUGCUAGAGGCGAAGGGCUGUCCGUCAUCCUUAAAAAGUGGGUGAGAGUAGAUUCUCCUUCACAUCUGCCGAGUGGACAGUUUAAUUAGCUUCAGUACUGAGCACAGUAACUGCUCAAUAAAUAGAGCAAUUGUUACUACGAGGGUCUUCAAAUGGGACCUGCGGAGGCAUGUGGCAUAUUUGCCCUUCCACUUACAAAAGUGUCUGCUUUCAGCAGCUCUUCAGGGUGGCUGCAGGAUGUCUACCUCUGGAGUGACACAGGCUCUUGAUGGGGAGAAGCAGGAGCACUAAGUCCUUGCCCUUGGUGGCUGAGGAUGCACGAGGGAGGGAUGGACGGACAGACCGAAUGGUUCCUUCGCUCCCUCAGCUGACAGGCUCUCCAUGCAAACGCGCACAGGGCCCACGCAAGGUGCCUGGACACACAGUUAAUACGACACAGCCUCUGUCCUUAGCUACACACACCUGGUAAGUAGAAAGGAACCCUGAGAGCGACCGACAGGCAGCCCAGCCAUUCCCUCCGCAGCUUCGCCUACUGACUUGGCAGAGGCUCUCACGUUCCACUGUCCCCGGUUCUUGAGAACGGGACCACAGUCCUAAUUGCAGAUAGCUCGUUUUUCCCAUAAUCCUUUUGUUCCCCCCAGGGGCUGUCUGUGUCCCUGAGCUCUGUGUACUGAAAAUUCAUUCCAGAACUUGCUCUCAAACCCAUGCAUCCAGGAAAGCCAUUAAAAAAACAAACAAACAAACAAAAAAACCCAAAACAGGUGUAACUUCUGUUCCUUUAAUCCAUGGAUUGCUUUUCAGAGGUCCCUCCCUGGACGGAUCCUGUUUGGACCCAUCUGAUCUCCGGGGAUGGCGGUGUGAGGCUCUGCUACGAUCAUUACUGGAAUGAAAACAAAGGGGCCUGUUCGGGGUGCGCAUCCCAGCCAGCACAGCUUGGCUGCAGUCACCAGAGUGGCAGCUUCGGGUUGGCCAAGACGCGUGGGGUGCUGUCCAUGGGCCCCGGUUCUACCCUUUGUCAGACAAGAGAGGCUUGGACAGAGGAGCACCGUCUGCCUCCAGGGCACUCAGAGCUGCGGUGGGCCACCGCACUGGCACGAGCACGCCAUCGCCGGCCAGGCACCGGGACCAGCGCAACGUGCCCGAGGAAGCAGCCAAGGAGGACCUUGCUGGCUGCCGGCCCCGGGGACAGUCCGACAAUUGGAAGCAACCAAGGGGAGCAGGACGAGAGGGCGGCUGAGCUGAAAGACACGUGUCUGCCAUCUAGUGCUAAGCGUGACAGGGGGACAAAGGAGACGCUGCGAGCACACAGAAGACAUGCAAGAGAGGGGUCCGAGGGUAAAGGAGAGGAGCCCGAGCCGUGUGAGAGGCGUGCCCGGCACGGGGGAGACUGCAGAGCGGAGGAUGACAAAGCACACGCUGUGGGGAAUGAAAGGAAAAUGAGCUCGGGAGCGAAGAUAAACGGCAAGGGUGAUGCCAAGUACACAAGGGCAGGAGGUCACUGAAGGAAGUGGAGGAGGCUGUGAGGUAAGCAUUAGGGAAAUUUAUUGACAGGAGUUGUAGCUAAAAAAUUAAAUGAAUUCCUCGCUGCGGCGCUCACAAAGGAAGAUGAGAGACAGAUGCCGGCAGCAGCAGACAGACACUUCCCAGAGGACAGGGAUGAAAUGCUGCAGGAAAUCAGAAGUAUGCCAAAACAGGUGAUCAAGAAAUCUGAAGCUCUAUGGUGGCUGACGCUGCUGUCACCCAAGAGCCCCAUGGCAGGGAGGCCUGGAGACCAGCACGUGGCUGACCGCAGGUGGGCCUUGCACACAGGAAGGCCUGGCCGCAGGGGCAGGACACACACGUCUACACUGGGCAAGGAAUCCCAGGCUGGUUUAGCCUGGGGGGAGGGGGGUUCUGCUAGUCCAGCAGCAGGAGGGAUGUGGAUGUCGGGGUGGUUUCCAGCCCCACAGCAGCCGGAAGCCCCCGUCCCAGGGACACACUGCGUUGGCACUUCCCACGCUCUGCCAAAAGGGCCCAACCACCACCCCCUGGAAUGCUCCUCAAGUCACAGGCACCUCUGAGCGACGCUCCCCCUGUCAUCCCCUGCCUGACUUCCUCUCUGGAAGGGGCAGCAGCUGCAUAAAAUAAUCUUCUGUGGGGCGGUGGGGCAAAGGUAUUCACCCACAUUUCUCUUUCCAUUAUCCACACAUGCUAAAAACCAGUCCCAGCUGCACUUCUUGAAAUUUCCAAAAGCCUCUGGUAACACUCAGUCUCUAAAGGUCUUGGCUCUGACUAAAGGGAGGCCAUGGACAUUACCUGGCAAACAAGCAGUGACAGGCUAAGGAACCCCUGCCUCUCCCUCUACCACCCUCACCUGUGAGAAAGCAGCACCCUGACUCUAAUAUUCUGAUUGACAGCGGGGUUCUGGCUUCUAUGGGACUAGGGAUGGGGCUUGUCCAGACCCCCGGCCAUUUCCAUUUCCUGACUGUGCCCACAGCCUCCUUUCCCUGGCUGUCUGGGCCAUCUGAGCUCUCCCCUGGGGCUGCCUUCCCCAGAAGUCCUGCUGGACCAACCUCAGUCACUCCUCUUCCCUUAGUGCAGCCUGGUCUCUCUCACGUCUGAAUGUCACCACACUGAUGUAUACACAUUCCCACUGUUCUCUAAGACAGAUGAUGCUGUCUUAAAAUAAUGCCCCAGAAAGUGGCACAUUGGAGAAAAGAAUGCUGUCUUUGAGAGUCCGCUGCAUUCUUGAUUCCCAGGGAGACUCAGCACUUUUGUGCCUUCUUAUGUGCUCUGAGAAAGACAGUAUGUGGGUCCUGCCUUUUGAUCCCGCUCAUUAUUUAUUUUAUGACUUAAGAGGUUUCCCCAGUUGGCAAUACCACACUGAGGAUCGUGAGCCAAAUGCAACAGAGCACCGAUUAAUUAGCAGCCUACUAGUCAACCCAUUCAAACGGGCUGGUCAGUGGGGUUGGAUCUCCCCACACAGACAGUUCAGGAAGCUCAUCUGGUGAGAGGCGAUCUUGUACUCUAACUUCAGGGUCUGUAAUGGGAAACUGUUCUUUAUAAGGUCACUGAUGGAAUAGGGUUGGGGUUAAACUCUGGGAGACACUCAUCAGACUCACCCCACUCACUCCUUCGCCUUCUCUGACCUAGAAUUCCUUCUGCUGGAAUACCUAACUGCAGAAUCCCACAGAGGAAUUAAAGACAGAACUGCUUGGGUUUUUUGGAUGUAUUACAUAAGAAAUAAGUGACUGCAAAUGAAAAAUAUUCAAAUUUACGUUGAUUCAGUACUAUGGAAAGAUCAAUUGUUUUCUGAUUUGGUACAUAAUAAACACGUAACUUAAUGUAAGUUUAAGUGGUAAGAAAAAUUGGGAUUUCUAGGCAAAAAUUUAAAAAUAUGCUGAGUAACGUAUGGAAUUGCUGAAUCACUAUAUUGUGCCCCUAAAACUAACAUAAAACUUUAUGUUAACUAGAUGGGAAUUAAAACUUUUAAAAAAGAAAAAAAUAUUUUAAAAUAUGAUGAUACUUGGUUUGGGGCUCAAAUAUAUAUUAAAAUACAGAUUCAAAUAUACUUUUAUUGUCUCAUCAAAGAAAAGGGUGCUUUUUAUGACCUAAUGUUUAGAGUUCUUUAAUUUUGUGCUUUAAGAAAAAAUCUCAAUUUGUUUACUUUUUUAAUUUUCAGAUUUGUGAAAUGAAGAGGUAAGAGAGAAAGUUUCAGGCUUCUGUUUAUCAGCUCUUCUCCGUAAGAAACACAUUGUAGGCAUCUAUCAUUUUUGUUCUAAACGAAUAAAAAGGCAAAAUAAAUAUAAAUUGUCACAAUAUUUUCACUUUUUAAAAUGCGUUCUUAAGUACCAGAAACACCUUGACGUGCUCUGGAGAAUUUUGAUUUGACAAACACAAUGCACCAACCGGGCCAGCUAUGUAAUAUGCAGGGCUCAGCACAAAAUGAAAAUGUAGAGCCUCUUAUUCAAAAAGCAGGAAGAAAAGCUUUUUCUUUCCUCCCACAGUUUCUCUCCCGACCUGACACAGGCUUUUCCUUUGUUACUUCCUGUUGCAAUCCCUCGGCCAGGGGAACUCCUGAAGCCAGGGCAGACCCUUCACAGGCGCCCGGGGCCCUAUCCUGUGAUGCAGGUGAAAUUCAUACUAGAUGUGGACCCUCCCUGCAAAUGUGCUAGGCCCCCACGGGGAGUGGAGGGUGGGUGCCUGAGAACCUGUCCUGGGACGGCCAGAGGGGCCUGUGUUCGAACUGAGGCUCCUAGCCCCAGGUGAAUGAGCCAUGGUCCCAUGCAGCUGCCCUUACAAGAACACAGUGAUAGGUCAAAUUGUGAAGCACUCGAGAUGGUACUGGUGAGCAUUAAACCCGAAGCACAGAGCCCUUUUCUGGGUGUGGAGCUCCACGCAACUAGUCUGGUCACACGCCCAGGAAGCUAGCCCCGGACAGAUCUGAGAAAGAGCAGCUUAAGGGGAAGCUGCAGAGCGGUUACCAUUUUGUUGCCUUUCAUUUCCCAUUUCAGUCUUACGGUUCCUUAUGAUUCCAGUCUUUAACCAGCAGUCCUUCAGAGGUUCACACUAAACACGCACGAGCAUAAAAAGCAAGGGCAUGAUCAGCAGAUGAAGUCAACAGUGUGGCCAUACACUAGACACCACCAUCCAGCCACCAGUGCUCACUCAACACCCACUCAAAGGUGUUCCAUCUUCUCUCUCACGAUGAGCCUCCCACUGAGAUUGAUUCACUGCUGCCUGGACACCCAGGCCCCUUAAGGUCAUUAAAAAGUCAUUACCGUC